rnacentral:rRNA from 1 species
AACGAACGCUGGCGGCAUGCCUAACACAUGCAAGUCGAACGAAACCUUCGGGUCUAGUGGCGCACGUGUGCGUAACGCGUGGGAACCUGCCCUUAGGUUCGGAAUCACUCCCCGUAAGGUGUGCUCAUACCGCAUAAUCUCUUCGCACCAAAGAUUUAUCGCCUUUGGAUGGGCCCGCGUUGGAUUAGCUAGUUGGUAGGGUAAAAGCCUACCAAGGCGAGGAUCCAUAGCUGGUCUGAGAGGAUGAUCAGCCACACUGGGAAUGAGACACGGACCAGACUCGUACGGGAGGCAGCAGUGGGGAAUAUUGGGGAAGGGGCGAAAGCCUGAUCCAGCAAUGCCGGGGGAGUGAUGAAGGCGGUAGGGUUGUAAAGCUCUUUUACCCGGGAUGAUAAUGACAGUACCGGGAGAAGAAGCUCCGGCUAACUCCGUG